rnacentral:lncRNA from 1 species
CACACUGAUCCGGAUGCAAGCCGGAAAAUCUAAGGGUUGGCAAAUGAUUCGUCAUUUGCAUAGAACAGCCUAGGACUCUUCAGAAUGAACUUAUGGAAGAGAGCUGUGGCAUAGGAGCAGGAGAAGAAACGAGGUUUCACCAUGUUGCCCAGGCUGGUCUUGAAUUCCUGGGCCCAAGCGAUCCACCCACCUCGGCUUCCCAAAGUGCUGAGGUUACAGGCCUGAGCCACCAUGCCCGGCCAAGGCUUACUGUUCAUCUCAGCAAAGUACAGGCUGAUAAUUCCAAAGGCUGUUUAAGGGGUAAUUGUGGCUGACAGAGCAGCAUUCACGGAACAUCACUACUGUGCUUGGCUGGAACAGUGUCACUGUGUCUGAAAGUCUUGAUAAUGUUCAGUUGACUGUACUAAUUGUCCUGUUUUAUGCAUGGCUAGCCAAGUGGUAACCAAGAGUUUUAAACAAUGGAUCUUUAUUAAGGUAUUAAUUUUUGUCAAGGAAACUGACGUGAUUUGAAAGAAUGUUUACUGUGUGUGACACGUGUGGAAGAAAUUGUUUGUGUUUUCCCCUCUUCCAUGUUUAGGAAAUAAAAUAACCAAAAAGUGUGUGCGUG